rnacentral:lncRNA from 1 species
GCCGUCCGCCUCCGCGAAGAUGCCCUCGCUGUCCGCCGAGAGGUCGUACGGCUUCGCCUGCCCGUAUCCCUCGAUCGGCGGCGGUGUUGGUGGUGCGCCGCCGCCGCCGCCGANUGUUAUUGUCGCAACAAUUCACAAAAAGUUUCAGAAACCAAAUUAGUGAUUUUUUAAAGUAAUUAACCCUUGAAUCAAUCUAACAUGUACAUAAAAUUUGAAUUGAAUUUGAUAUUCCUUGAAUCUAAAAAAUUAGAAGAUGGUAAUUGACAAAAUAAUUAAUUAAGCUCACCGGCGCCACUCGCGAAACGCGGAUCCCUGCUCGCGCAUCUCGCUGGGAUCCGGCAGCAGCGGCCCGCCGCCGUCCGCCUCCGCGAAGAUGCCCUCGCUGUCCGCCGAGAGGUCGUACGGCUUCGCCUGCCCGUAUCCCUCGAUCGGCGGCGGUGUUGGUGGUGCGCCGCCGCCGCCGCCGAAGUCGUAUCCCUGCAUGCCGUCGUUUCGGGAUAAUCCGUCCAUCGGCGGCGGCGGCGGUGGCGCGCCGCCGUCGUAGCCGUAGUGCAUGGCGUUCUCGUCCCCGGCGUCGUUUCGUCCGACGUAGACAUCUUCGUCAAAUCCUUCCAUUUUUUCCCGAAAUCUGAUUCGUGUAUGUAUAUGUGUAUGUAAAGUGGUGUGUGUCAAUGUGUGUGUGAUGAGAUUUGGAGACGAAAGCGGUGCAUUUCAGCUGUUUCUAACUGUGGUUUUUUUUUUCUUUUUUGUUGCGUUGGCGAUGAAGGGAAGAGUUUUGAUCCGGUGCGGUUAUGUGUCCUAAUUUUAGUAAAAAGGUUAAUAGUGUCAAAAUACAUAAUUUUUUACACAUUUUUUGUUUUGUGCAUGGAUUAUAAAUCUUGUUUGUAAAUAUAUGUAUUUUUUUUUAAUUUCUCUGAUUUUGAACACGAUAUGAUGAACAUUUAUGAGACAUGAAUGUUGAGGUGAAAGUCGGGAACUAUCUCCAUGAUUUAAAC